rnacentral:misc_RNA from 1 species
GAAAUGCGAUAAGUAAUGUGAAUUGCAGAAUUCAGUGAAUCAUCGAAUCUUUGAACGCACCUUGCGCUCCUUGGUAUUCCGAGGAGCAUGCCUGUUUGAGUGUCGUGAAAUUAUCAACUCCCCUUUCCUUGUUGGAAGGGUGAGCUUGGACUUGGAGUGUGCUGGUCUCUAGAUCAGCUCCUCUUGAAUGCAUUAGCUGGACUUUGGUUUGUAGCAUAUAUGCGGUGUGAUAAUGUCGUCACUGUGUAGCUCAAGUCAUCUGGCUUCUAAUUGUCUCUUCUGGGGACACUUUUGAUCAAUCAGACCUCAAAUCAGGUAGGACUACCCGCUGAACUUAA